ACUAACUGGAACCCCCCCCCCCAAAAUCUGGGAUGUAUCUUAACUGCAGAGCUCUCAGCCUAAGUGGUCAGGACCCUAGAAGCUAGGAGAGAGUGAAGGAGAACAUAGGGGAUCUCAUGAGUUGGGUCUCAUCUCUAUCCUGCACCUGACACCAUCACAGAAGCCAUUUGAAACAUGAAAUCUUUCUUCUCAAAUUAAACACAAGACUAUUCUUAAAGGGCAUGUUUAAAUCCUUGGAUUAGAGCCAAUUUAAACAUAGCUGAACCUCUUGCUCUAAUCCAAGGAUCAUGAAGAUUUCUUUCUUUCUCAUUCUCAUUCUCAUUUAACAGCCAGUGAGUGACCCUGCAGGGCCACACAGAGAGAGGCUCAAAAGAAAUGUCUGAUGUGCUAUGGACAAAAUACACCUGGUUACCUUUAACUCCCACACCUGAGACCAGCAGAUGGAAUGAGGCCUUCAAUAUGGGUAAGAGACGGAGAUGCCCUCAUUGGAGCAGAGAGGUGAGAAUCUUCCAGCUCCCAGAACCUGUGACAGGCUAGCUUCCUGUGUACUUCCAACAAGCACUUACGGAUUGCUGGCUGCAUGUCAGGGUCUUUCACUAGAGCUGCUUCAAAGGAAGAAAACAAAACAAAACAAAACAAGACAAGACCCAACUGUGUUGAACAUGAAAUCCAGUCAAUAUGCAGCACUGUGAAACUAGAACCCUGCCAUGUUUACCAGCCAAUCCGAGACACACUGGCUUCCCUCCUGAAAACAUUUCCAAUGUUUCAUCAUACAUAGCUAGAGUCCUCCUCUCUGGGGAUCAAUAAAGGCCAAUUAAGGGUGUGGCUACUAGCCCUCUU